rnacentral:rRNA from 1 species
UACGGAGGGUGCGAGCGUUGUCCGGAAUCACUGGGCGUAAAGGGCGCAUAGGCGGCCCGUCAAGCGUGUGGUGAAAGCCCGGGGCUCAACCCCGGGUCGGCCGUGCGGACUGGCGGGCUCGAGCACUGUAGGGGCGGGUGGAAUUCCGGGUGUAGCGGUGGAAUGCGUAGAGAUCCGGAAGAACACCGGUGGCGAAGGCGGGUCUCUGGGCCGAUACUGACGCUGAGGAGCGAAAGCGUGGGGAGCAAACAGG